ACAGAAACCCAGAGUGAGGCACAACGACCAACAAACACAGGCACAACGGGCCCCAAACCCAGGCGUACUCCUGACUGGAGGAAGGGGAAGCCUCAGCCAGUUGUGGCCACCCACUCCUGAGGGGGACCCCGCUGGCAGCUGCUGUGAAGGGGACGAGGACAUUUGUUGACGUGCUGUCGUGCCUGUGUGUGAACUAAAAGCAGUCCCAUACUGACAGACAAUGCCUGAGGUGCCACUUCUGUCUCUGUGCUGGUUUGGCUGCAGCAACUCUAGAGACUGCCAGGUAAGAGCUGGGGAAAGAUGGGGAAGAAGCCACGGAACUGUGUCUCGAGUUCUUUCAGUCUGGGAUGACACCCAUAUCCAUUUCCCUGCCUAGACUCUUUCACAGGCACCGAAACUGAAACACACAGACUCAGCAGCAUUCGGCUGUUAUCUUGGUUCUGGCAGCUUCGUAACUUAACUCCCAGAGAAGGUGGGAAGAAGUCAGCUGUGCACAGUGCGAGGAGAACGAUGCCUAAUCUGGCUUAUGAGGUUUUGUAUGAUCUUCUAGCCCUGCACCUAGUCCCAACUUUAAAGAUGACGAGAGUAACUCUUCAUUGCAGAUAUGAAAGCUGACAGGACAACAGAGGUUAGAGGACAAGGCUUCAUAGAGGGUUCAGGAGUCAUGAGCCCUACUGGGGGGAGGGCUGAGAGAGGAGGAGUCCCUCAAGUGAGGUCGGAGCAGGGCUGCUGGAGAAGGCUUUGUUGUACAGCUGGUUUAGGAGGCAAUGGGAAGGCAGAACUAGAAUUGGAGAGAACAGGCCUGUGAGACAGGGACCUCAGCAGAAGUGAGUCUCUUUUCCAGGAGGUAACAAGACAUGGGCAGCUCAACUGUGGGUGCUUAAAGAAUAGAUCACAGUGAUGGGAUAGAACCCUGCAACUCUGGGAAAAAGGAGGAUGCAGAAAGUAAGCAAGAAGGACCCAAGCCCUCAGCAUCUACAGAAGGUACCCAGGAGAAGAGGAUCAGACUGCAGAGGCCUGAAGGAGGAAGAUGUGGGUUUUUGCCUAGAGCAAUGUGUUCACGUGAUGAUGGAUAUUGUCAAGGUGAAAACUUCCAUAGACUCUGGAAGGAAGCUGACAGUAUGUAGACACGCUAAGGCCAGUGUCCCGCUUUGGGAAAUGAACGUCGCCGAGGUGACAGCUGGAGAAAUGAGAUCAGAUGAACAAAACUCAGAAGACAAAGAGGACGCGAGGACAUCAGAAAGGGCUCACUAGGGG
rnacentral:lncRNA from 1 species